CCUGAGUAGUCUGGGAGGAGGGAGGCAGGCAAGGCAGAGAUGCCUGUGGCUCUCCAUAGGAAGCUCACCUCUCCACCAAAAGGAAGCGGGGUAACCAAACACAUCCGUGCUUGAGAUGUGGGUUCAAAUCUCACUUUAAGGCAGCAGAGAGUGCCUGAGGACUGGCUCCCCUACUUAAGUUCCUACCGUCAGAGCUUUAGCUUCUCAGCAGCCCUGUCCUCUAGGUUUGCAGAAACUCUGGCUCUUCCUUCCACGACCAUGUUUUUUUGGAAAGGUUAACUGCGCAUGUGUCCUCGGCUGCCUCACCGAUUGCUCUUCCACAAGCCAGUCCUUCUUCUGCCAGUCUGCGUUCAGCUUUCAUUUGUCUGCGAAAAUUGUCUCUCAACUACUAAAGCGUUGCCAACUCUCCAGUUUUAAUUGCCCAUGCAUAUUUCUGCCCCUCCCUUCUGCCUCAACCGAGUCCCUGUUCAUCCCUAGGCCUCUAGAUUUAUUAAAUUCCUUUGAUUUUUUUUAUCUA